rnacentral:rRNA from 1 species
GACGAACGCUGGCGGCGUGCUUAACACAUGCAAGUCGAACGGUAAGGCCCUUCGGGGUACACGAGUGGCGAACGGGUGAGUAACACGUGGGUGAUCUGCCCUGCACUUCGGGAUAAGCCUGGGAAACUGGGUCUAAUACCGGAUAGGACCACUGCCUGCAUGGGUGGUGGUGGAAAGCUUUUGCGGUGUGGGAUGGGCCCGCGGCCUAUCAGCUUGUUGGUGGGGUGAUGGCCUACCAAGGCGACGACGGGUAGCCGGCCUGCGAGGGUGACCGGGCGCACUGGGACUGAGAUACGGCCCAGACUCCUACGGGAGGCAGCAGUGGGGAAUAUUGCACGAUGGGCGCAAGCCUGAUGCAGCGACGCCGCGUGAGGGAUGACGGCCUUCGGGUUGUAAACCUCUUUCAGCACCGACGAAGCGCAAGUGACGGUAGGUGCAGAAGAAGGACCGGCCAACUACGUGCCAGCCGCCGCCGCCG